rnacentral:rRNA from 1 species
GACGAACGCUGGCGGCGUGCUUAACACAUGCAAGUCGAACGGAAAGGCCCUGCUUUUGUGGGUUGCUCGAGUGGCGAACGGGUGAGUAACACGUGAGUAACCUGCCCUUGACUUUGGGAUAACUUCAGGAAACUGCGGCUAAUACCGGAUAGGAGCUCCUGCUGCAUGUUGGGGGUUGGAAAGUUUCGGCGGUUGGGGAUGGACUCGCGGCUUAUCAGCUUGUUGGUGGGGUAGUGGCUUACCAAGGCUUUGACGGGUAGCCGGCCUGAGAGGGUGACCGGCCACAUUGGGACUGAGAUACGGCCCAGACUCCUACGGGAGGCAGCAGGGGGGAAUAUUGCACAAUGGGCGGAAGCCUGAUGCAGCAACGCCGCGUGCGGGAUGACGGCCUUCGGGUUGUAAACCGCUUUCGCAUGUGACGAAGAGUGAGUGACGGUAAUGGGUAAAGAAGCAACGGCUAACUACGUG